rnacentral:lncRNA from 1 species
UAUCAUGGCCGUGGUCGUGAUGGUAGAGACAGUACUUUUUUGGAUUGUGCUGACCCAGCUUCAUCUUCAUCCUCAUUGCCCUGGAAAGCUGCUCCCUUAUCUCCAUCAGUACUUGAGUUUAGGGAGUAUUCAGUAGAGUGAAGUUCAUAAAUCUCCUUGGUGGAGACACACGUCGCCCCCCUCUAAUGGGACUCUUCUGUUGGAGGUUCUGUGGAGGAGUUCAGGACCUCUGACAUCUGGGUGGA